CUUCUCAGAAAGAGCAGUCAGGCUUUGGAACAGGUUGCCCAGGGAAGUGGUGGAGUCACCAUCCCUGGGGUGGUUUAAGGAAAGGUUGGAUGUGAUGCUUAAGGACAUGGUUUAGUGGGUGUGGUGUAAUUGCCUGAAGUAACUAGGAAAAUAAAACUAACAUUCACACUUUUUAAGGAAAAGGUACAGCUUUGAAGAGGCUUUCAGGGUAGGGCAUAACUGCAUUACCUGAGCGUUCCCUAGGCUCCCAACCUUAGAUGCUAUCGCGCUGGGGAAACUUGGUGUGCUAGCUCCAAGGAACACCACGGAGCGUGGAGCGGAGUGGAGACACCAUGGCUAGGCUCUGUAAUCAGGUGGGGACUCUAUUGUUCUUGUGCACAAAGCUGCACUUUUUGCCACCCUAAGCCAAAGACCUGUCAUGUUUUGACAAAUGCUGUACCCUAGUGUACUUUUUGCUCAUUGUAAUAUCAUUAUAAUACCAAAACACACCUCCAUCCCAAAAGCUACCUGCCUCCAAGGUGCGACCACCCCUCACUGAGCAUGUGCCCUGAAUUUUUCGGAGCCUAUUACUUUAAACGGAGACGGGAAAACUUUACAGCAAUCAUAACUAAGAUAUGCUUGACUAGAGCCACUCAAGCUCCACCUAAAAGAUAGAAAAUAAUAUAAAUUGGCCCAAGAGAGAGGGGAUGUUGGGGAAGAUACCACCGUCAGGGGAGAUACCAUCCCGAGGACAUACAACAUCCUUAGGACCUCCUGACUCCUGGGAUCAGUCGACGGGCUGAGCCUCUCUUCCCCACGCAUCGGGAUGCCUUUGGGCCAGAAUGAAGACUUGAUAUCUUGUUUGGAUGAAAGAAACUCAAUUUUCAGUUCUGCUUAUGCCCCGAACCCACAACCUAAAAAGGAUGCAUUCUUGGAUGUGUGAACAGUGAUGACAAUGUCCCCUUCUCUCUCUACUGGGUGUCACUUGGAAGCAUCUGUCAAAAUACCUCCAAAAGAACAUCAUCAAGUCAACACAAGCUACCAACAUGAGAAAAUCAGUCAUACUAUUGAAUGACAUCACGAGCCCCC
rnacentral:lncRNA from 1 species